AUUUCUUUUAACAUAUCAGGAAGUCAAAUUGGUAGUGAAGAAAGAAGCAAGAAGUUGAAAGCCAUCAUUACCUAUAAUCAAAAUCCAUAAACCCAUACCAUGCUUCUUUCUUCACUACCAAUUCGACUUCCUGAUAUAUUAAAAGAAAC
rfam:Gossypium raimondii Chr03_contig_19, whole genome shotgun sequence.